AUUCUUUUUUCAAAAAAAAAAAAAUAUCUGAUACGUCCCCUUCGGGGGACUACAUAUUAAAUGGAUUUUUCGAACAGGGUGUCGGAAAUGGGGCUCGCUCUGUCCGCUCCACGCAUCGACCCGGUAUUGCAGUACUUCCGGGAACGGUGCAACACUU
rnacentral:snRNA from 1 species